CCAAUAGCGUAUAUUAAAGUUGUUGCAGUUAAAAAGCUCGUAGUUGAAUUUCGGGAUCAAUAUAUCGGUCAUGCUUAGGUAUGUACUGGUAUUAUUGAUUUCUCCCUUCUGAAGAACCAUGAUGUCAUUUAUUUGAUGUCGUGGGGAAUCAGGACUGUUACUUUGAAAAAAUUAGAGUGUUUAAAGCAGGCUUUCGCUUGAAUACAUUAGCAUGGAAUAAUGAAAUAGGACGUUUGAUUCUAUUUUGUUGGUUUCUAGGAUCGACGUAAUGAUUAAUAGGGAUAGUUGGGGGCAUUAGUAUUCAAUUGUCAGAGGUGAAAUUCUUGGAUUUAUUGAAGACUAACUACUGCGAAAGCAUUUGCCAAGGAUGUUUUCAUUAAUCAAGAACGAAAGUUAGGGGAUCGAAGACGAUCAGAUACCGUCGUAGUCUUAACCAUAAACUAUGCCGACUAGGGAUCGGAUGAUGUUAAUUUUUUAAUGACUCAUUCGGCGCCUUACG
rnacentral:rRNA from 1 species